UGUUAAUGGCUUGCCUCUUGAUGGAAUAAGAAAAUGUCACCCAGGUAGAUUCCUAUAGCUGAGCCUGGGCACCUGAGCAUGAAGAGGCUGGGCUCCACACUCGACGAGAAUGCUGAACCCGGUGCUGCGACUGGAUAGUCUCUCAACAGGACACUGGCCAAAACAGUAGGAGCCAACUGGCACGGGAGCCUGAGAAAUGCAGUUUGUACGGGAAGGUCAGGGAGCAGCAGGACCAGGCUUCACUCAGCACACCAAGAGUUUGGAGAAUCGGUUAUGUUCACUGUGUACAAGCUAGAUACCCAACUCCGGAUCCCUAAAGCAUUUACAGGUUUACCUCUGUGACCAAAGGACUCUGCAGAUGUCAUUGUUGAGAUGGGGAAGUCAUGCUGUAUUCCUUGUUCAGAUUGGCCUACAGAAUAACGGCGCUCCUUACAAGAGGGGCUGAGGCGUAGUCAGAGACAAGAGGAUGGCGAGAUUCCCAAAGCAGAGGCCAGAAUGGUGCGCUCUAAAGAUAAGAAGGAGCCACAAGCCAGGAUCACAGACAGCCUCACCAACUGGAGAAGAAACGCAUAAUUCUCCAGAACUUGAGAAGGGGCUGGCCUUGCAACAGCUUGGCUUUAGACAGCUGAAAACAGUCUUAACACUUUGAGUUUCCAGGACUGUAAGAGGGUAAAAGUGGGCUGCGUUAUGCCAGGGAGUCUGUGGAGAUUUGUCACAGUAACAAUGGAGAACUGGUACAGUGUAUCAGACUGAAUGAGCCUGAGGAAUAAAUUAUGCUGAGUUCAUUUGCAUUCUUUCCCGGAUACACAAAAGGCAGGUUGUCCUACAGCCUCCUGCAGAUGGGGUUGCCAGGGAUGUGCAGGCAUGGUGCUGGGUUACUAACUCCUUACCUAACUCCUUACCUCCGGGAUCCACACAGGUGCACCCAACACCACAGCCUUGCUUCUGAGACGCUCCUAGUGCUUACAUCCAAGACCAUCGGAAAAUCUUUCCUUCUUUUUCUCCUCUUCUUUCCCACCUCUUCUUUCUCUCUCUCUCUCUCUCCUUUCUCCCCUCCUCCUCUCCCCCCUCCGUUUCUCCUUUCUCCCUCCUUUUUCUCCCCCUUCUUCCCUCCUCUCCCCCAUUUCAAGCCCCUUGUCUCUCUUCCUUCCAUGCAGGAGACCUCCCAGCCUGUGAAGCCUCACCCUCCUCCUGGGCCUCAAGCCUUCAGCCAGAAAGGUCAGUGUUUAUUUAUCUUGUGUGUAGGCUGUCUUCCUGAGGUAACCCACAGCUUGUCUGAAGGAAUGUGAGAGUGGGGGUGAGAGCCAGGUAGGAGAGGUUCCCUGGUAAAGCUGUAGUCUCCAGGAAGAACGCUGUUGUUUGUGUGAAGACCUAGCUGCCUGUGGAUUAUUUACACUCAAGAAAUAAAUGCUGGGGCUGGAGAGAUGGCUCAGUGGUUAAGAGCACGGACUGCUUUUCCAGAGGUCCUGAGUUCAAAUCCCAGCAAUCACAUGAUGGCUCACAACCAAUGGGAACUGAUGCCCUUUUCUGGUGUGUCUGAAGAUAGCUACAGUGUACGUAUAUAUAAUAAAGGAAGGGUUUGGGGGGUUAUUGACCAAAUAGGAAGGGUUUGGGGGGUACUGACCAAAACCAGUGGGAAUGGUGACAGUAAGAUUCUGCUAUGGUUUCUGGAGCAGGAUUGCAAAUGCCUGCAACAGAUUGCUCCUUUCCCCAGGGUCCCCAUCAGUGUCUGACUUCGAGGCUCUUACUCUUCCCCAUAGUGUCCCCUGCUUCUCAUGGCUGAGCACUUCCUGGACGCCAUAUUUUGUUCUGGAUGAUUCGUAAACCCCUUGCUUUACAAUUCACUGUACCUCUUUUACAAACCGAGUCACAGGACAGCUGAGGACGCUGACAUCCAGCUCACACCCAUCUGACUGUAAGGUGAAGCCUUGUCCCCUGCCCUUUGAAUUCUAACUUGAUGUCGUUUUUCCAUAACACAUCAUAGAGAGCUGUAUCCCCCCAACAUUAUUUGUAAAGAUUUAGCCCUUAAAAGCAUACCUAGCUUCUACCCACUUGGUGCCAGCAACAAAUCGUGGCGAUCUAAACUGUCUCCAGAUACUGCAAAUGCACCCCGGGGGGGAGAAGAAUCGAAGCCCCCUUCUCACUUAAUAAUUUCGCCUGUGCGUACGUGGUCUGACCUUACCAAGAUUCCUGCCUCCUUACAUCUCAACUUCCUAUAGGCCAGGGUGGGAAAAUCAAUUCUGGGCUGGCGAGAUGGCUCAGCGGGUGAGGGGACUGAAGCCAAGCCUGACGACCUGGCUUCGAUCCCUGGACCCCACAUAGUAGAUUGUUCUUGUUGGUUGCCCUCUGGCUUCCAUUUGAGUGCCACAGCCUGAGUAUCCACACUCAUAGACACAAACGCAAUCCAGCAAUCAGUAAAUAAAUGUAAAAGCAAACAAACAAAAACAACAACAAAAAAACCCACAAUUUAAAAAAAAAGAAAUUUAAGUCUGAAAAUGUGUGUUUAUGUACUCAUUGAUACCAAACAGUCAUCAGUGGAAUUCCUUUUGUGAGCUGUGGCUAAAUAUCCAAAAUGGCAGCUUGUCCACUGGAUCCCCCUCCCUCCACUACAGCAAGACCAUUUAUGACCGCAGUGCUUAACCUUCCUAACACUGUGACCCUUUAAUAGGUUCCUCAUGCGGUGGUGACCCUCAACCAGAAAAGUAUUUUCAUUGUUACCUCAUAACUGUACUUUUUGCUACUGUUACAAGUUGUAAUGUAAAUAUUUUGGAGAUAGAAGUUUGCCAACAGGUUGGUGACCCACAGGUUGGCAACCUCUGAUUUAUGAGAUGGUGCCUCCUGUGGACUUUCUGGAAAAGGAAUUGUUUGGUUGGUUAUCUGGGUGGAUUUUUUUGGGCUAUAUCAACACUAACCUUUGCCUGUUGGUAGCAAUAAAACAAAGAACUUAAUGAUAAAAAGUGGGCAACAACUAUGUAACAGUGCACAGAAAAGGGGGAAUAACCAAUAAAAAAAAUCUGGUUGCUUCUAUGGGUGACAGCUAUGGUUCUGUGGGCUCAGAGGGACUGUGGAGGACACAUCACAGGUUUGGCCUUAUGGGCUGGAAUGCUUGAGUGUCCAUCCACAGCUGCCAUGACUCAAUGGCCCAGGCUGGCCCUCGGGAUUGCUACCUCUGUAGUACCUCAGGUCUGGUGCUCAUGUGACCAACCUCGUCCUUCAGGCCGAGAAGGCCCUCAGUCUGAGAAGCUGGCCUCCAGCAUGCUCAGCCAGAGUUGUUCUGGGUAUCUUUGACUGUGUAAGAAAUUCCCUCAGAGGCUGGAUGGAUGGCUCAGCAGCUAAGAGCACUGACUGCUCUUCCAGAGGUCCUGAGUUCAAUUCCCAGCAUCCACAUGGUGGCUCACAACCAUCUGUAAUGGGAUGCAAUGCCUUUUGAAGAGAGCAAUCGUGUACUCACACUAAAUAAAUAAAUAAAUAAAUAAAUAAAUCUUAAAAAGAAAUUCCCCAGAAGCUUUAGUGACCCAUGUAGCACAUGUUCAUCACGGCACAGUACUGUGGGGCAAGGACCUGACUGAGGCCUGCAAGGUGGUUCUGCCCCGGAACCCCGGUGGGUAUCAUGUGGCCUGAGACUAGGAUUUUAGGCUUUGGCCUUGAUGGGGAGAGUCCACAUCUCACCUCGCUCAGGAUUCCAUGCCUCACAGGCUAAAACCCUAAGACCUUCAGAUCCUUACUCUUUGUUGAUCAGAGACUUGUUCAGUUUGUAGCUCUAUGCAUCCUUAGUAGGGAUGCUCAAGACAUGGCUGUUGGCUUCCCUGGGAUGCAACUCACACUCAGGCUGUCUUGUCACUCUCCUGCAUCUUCUUCACUCUCUGGAAACUCCAUUCAUUGGGAAUGAGCUGAUAAAUCCAUCCAUCACCGGAAGGCGGGCUGCUCUGGGGCAAGGAACAGGAGCCAUUCUCAGAGAUCUCUAAAGGUGGGGGCAUGGCAUAUCUGGGGCAUUGGAAAGAGUCCUUCACUUUCUCAGCAAGCCUGAUGAUUACCUGAACUGAGUGACAGACUGGCCCCACGCUAAGUCAGCUCUCACACGCAGCCCAUCCACAGAGCUCUGCUUGCCCAGGAAGCACAGGCAGAUCUGAUCCCUCCCACGUGUGCUCCUUAGCUCCUCCUCUGAGCCAGGGUCAGAUUGCAGCUGUCACCUUCUCAAUGCUCCCUCUCCCUCUGUCUGUCUUCCUGACCCUCUGUUCCCAGUGUGGUAGCAGCCACGGUCUUUUUUAGUUUUCUUUUUCUUCUUUUUUUUUUUUUUUUAAUAAACCACACUGUCAUCCAUCAUCCAAUGCUUCUCUGCUGAAACCUCUCCACUGCUUGAAUGAUAAAAGUUGGGCUGGGGUGGAAACUGGUUUCUGCUCCUCAUGGUUCUCUCUUCUUCAUGCUCUUCUGCUCUUUCUGCCGUACUGGCCCCCUUCUUCUCUUGACUGCUCCAGGAAUGUUCUCAGUUCCUCAUGGCUUUGGUACUUCCUGUCUCUGCCUCAGUAGGUACCCUGUGGAUAUGAACAUGGCCAACGUGAAGGUUAAUCUUGGCUGUCAACUAGGCGACAUGGCUCUGAGUGGGCUUGGGAGUACAUUUCCAGGAAAGGUUAACCGAGGAGGGAAGACCUUCCCUAAGUGGGCAGCACCCUGUGGAAGAUUCCUAAAUAUAAAGAAGUCGGAGGGAUUUAAAGAUCUGUUUGCCUGCUCACCUGCACUCCAAGUAAAUGCAUCUGCCUUAUUGCUGCUGCUGCUGCUGCUGCUGCUGCUGCUACACUUCACUGGCAUCAGAACCCAGUUUCUUUAGCCUUCAAUGUAAACUAAAAAAAGACCAUCAGCUCAACAGGAACCCACCAGACAUUCAGCACCAGACUGGAACUGUGGCUUGCAGGCCAUGGGCUGAGCAGCAGUAUACAGACGACAUUGUUGGACUGCCUAGCCCACAUCGUAUUAACACAUCUCAUAACCCCCAUUGUAGUGUAUAUUCAUCUUGUGUUUCUGUUCCUCUAGAGGACUCUGAUGAAUUCAGCUCACCACUUUAAGCCUUGGCUUUACUUUGCCAUCAAGCCCUUUCUUGAGAAUCCCAUUUGGAAUUCUGACACCAUCUCCAAGUCCAUUUGAAUUUUUAUUUUCUCCAACGCUCUCAUCACUUUGAAUACACUUUACUUACUGUAAGCCUUCCCUACCUCCAAGACUAGGGAUUCGUAUCUGCUAAUGCUCACUCCCUAGCAUCUAGGAUCUAGAGUUCUUCCUGACACAUGUAGGUACCCAAUAAUUGUUUGAUGAGGGGUUGGGGAUUUAGCUCAGUGGUAGAGCACUUGCCUAGCAAGCACAAGGCCCUGGGUUCAGUCCCCAGCUCCGAAAAAAAAAAGAAAAAAAAAUAAUUGUUUGAUGAACUAAUGCAUGAAUGAGUUCCCCUGCUAAUCUCAGCCACAUACUUACAGUGUCCACAUCCUUCUUUGAUAAGAUGUUGGCUAUCUAAAAAGCCUCAAAGAUAGAAGGCACAUCGCCCAGGAUCUGUAUCCUUUGGUCCUCAGAACUUGUAGCAGUGUCCCAUGAGCCUAAUCUCCUCCCAUCUGUCCUAGCCCUGUCACGGAUACGACAUCCAGGUUAAGAUGUGGAGUCCAAAAUGGCAGCCUCUCCAAGUCACCUGCUAUCAAGGGUCCUUAGAGAUUCUAGGCAUUUCUCUCUUCCCUGAACUUGUCAUGCACCGCAAGGGAGGAAAAUCUCCCAACUCUCAGACCAAACCCUUUCUGUUGGCAGAGAAUGCCAGCUGCUCAGAAAGAGCCCGGCUCACGAGCUUCCAUUCCAACUCAUUCUUCUAGCUCUGUCUUAUUCAUCACCACGAGAGCAAUGACUUCCGGGUCACCGUUCCAGUGCACUCAGAAUCUGGAGACCGAGGAGAAUGCAAAGAAGCAGAGGAGGAAGCUCCUGAGUGCCUGGACUACAGAAUGCCACACCCACCUGGAUCCCAGCUCUACAUCUGCCUCAGCCCUCCUGCCACUGCCCUCCAGCGCUGCCCUUACUGAUAGCCACCAUGCUUCCUCUCUUCUCUCCGGCUUCAUUCCGGCCCAUUACUGCUCUCUACAUGGAAAAUGCACUUAUUUAUUGUCUGUCUAUCCCACUGGAGCAUAAACUACCAGGAGGAGGAGGAGGACUUCACCAACAGGUGUCCCCAUAGCUUUCUGGGAGUGUCUGAGACCCAGGAUGACUUUAGUAAAUGCCUGCUCAGUGAGUGAACACAAAGUUCCUGAUUCCUAAAGAAGGUAACUCCAGCAGUUUACCGUGACUUCCAAUCCAACUUCAGCAUAACACAGAUUUUUUAAGAACUAAUAUUUCCUAGAUCCUUACAAAAUAUUCUUACUACAGAUGGAAAGUUCUUCACAGCACUCACUGGGUAUAGAUACUUGACAAUUUGUCAACAAACUGAACACAUAAACAUGCAUGUGC